rnacentral:miRNA from 1 species
CUUCCAAUCAGCGAGGUACAUCUACCUUGUUGACCGAAGAGUUUCCUUCCGGUCAACGAGGAUGUACCUUGUUGAUCGGAAGGAACCCCUUCCGAUCAAAGAGGUAGAUGUACCUCCCUGAUCGGAUG